rnacentral:rRNA from 1 species
AGGACGAACGCUGGCGGCGUGCCUAAUACAUGCAAGUCGAGCGGACCGACGGGAGCUUGCUCCCUUAGGUCAGCGGCGGACGGGUGAGUAACACGUGGGUAACCUGCCUGUAAGACUGGGAUAACUCCGGGAAACCGGGGCUAAUACCGGAUGCUUGAUUGAACCGCAUGGUUCAAUCAUGAAAGGCGGCUUCGGCUGCCGUUUACAGAUGGACCCGCGGCGCAUUAGCUAGUUGGUGAGGUAACGGCUCACCAAGGCGACGAUGCGUAGCCGACCUGAGAGGGUGAUCGGCCACACUGGGACUGAGACACGGCCCAGACUCCUACGGGAGGCAGCAGUAGGGAAUCUUCCGCAAUGGACGAAAGUCUGACGGAGCAACGCCGCGUGAGUGAUGAAGGUUUUCGGAUCGUAAAGCUCUGUUGUUAGGGAAGAACAAGUACCGUUCGAAUAGGGCGGUACCUUGACGGUACCUAACCAGAAAGCCACGGCUAACUACGUGCCAGCAGCCGCGGUAAUACGUAGGUGGCAAGCGUUGUCCGGAAUUAUUGGGCGUAAAGCGCGCGCAGGCGGUUUCUUAAGUCUGAUGUGAAAGCCCCCGGCUCAACCGGGGAGGGUCAUUGGAAACUGGGGAACUUGAGUGCAGAAGAGGAGAGUGGAAUUCCACGUGUAGCGGUGAAAUGCGUAGAGAUGUGGAGGAACACCAGUGGCGAAGGCGACUCUCUGGUCUGUAACUGACGCUGAGGCGCGAAAGCGUGGGGAGCGAACAGGAUUAGAUACCCUGGUAGUCCACGCCGUAAACGAUGAGUGCUAAGUGUUAGAGGGUUUCCGCCCUUUAGUGCUGCAGCAAACGCAUUAAGCACUCCGCCUGGGGAGUACGGUCGCAAGACUGAAACUCAAAGGAAUUGACGGGGGCCCGCACAAGCGGUGGAGCAUGUGGUUUAAUUCGAAGCAACGCGAAGAACCUUACCAGGUCUUGACAUCCUCUGACAUCCCUAGAGAUAGGGCUUCCCCUUCGGGGGCAGAGUGACAGGUGGUGCAUGGUUGUCGUCAGCUCGUGUCGUGAGAUGUUGGGUUAAGUCCCGCAACGAGCGCAACCCUUGAUCUUAGUUGCCAGCAUUCAGUUGGGCACUCUAAGGUGACUGCCGGUGACAAACCGGAGGAAGGUGGGGAUGACGUCAAAUCAUCAUGCCCCUUAUGACCUGGGCUACACACGUGCUACAAUGGACAGAACAAAGGGCAGCGAAGCCGCGAGGCUCAGCCAAUCCCACAAAUCUGUUCUCAGUUCGGAUCGCAGUCUGCAACUCGACUGCGUGAAGCUGGAAUCGCUAGUAAUCGCGGAUCAGCAUGCCGCGGGUGAAUACGUUNCCCGGGGCUUGUACACACCGCCCGUCACACCACGAGAGUUUGUAACACCCGAAGUCGGUGAGGUAACCUUUUGGAGCCAGCCGCCGAAGGUGGGACAGAUGAUUGGGGUGAU